GUGGGGAAUUUUGGACAAUGGGCGCAAGCCUGAUCCAGCCAUGCCGCGUGCAGGAAGACGCAUCUAUGGUGUGUAAACUGCUUUUGUACGGGAAGAAACACUCCCUCGUGAGGGAGCUUGACGGUACCGUAAGAAUAAGGAUCGGCUAACUCCGUGCCAGCAGCCGCGGUAAUACGGAGGAUCCAAGCGUUAUCCGGAAUCAUUGGGUUUAAAGGGUCCGUAGGCGGUUUAAUAAGUCAGUGGUGAAAGCCCAUCGCUCAACGAUGGAACGGCCAUUGAUACUGUUAGACUUGAAUUACAAGGAAGUAACUAGAAUAUGUAGUGUAGCGGUGAAAUGCUUAGAUAUUACAUGGAAUACCAAUUGCGAAGGCAGGUUACUACUUAUGGAUUGACGCUGAUGGACGAAAGCGUGGGGAGCGAACAGGAUUAGAUACCCUUGUAGUCC
rnacentral:rRNA from 1 species